rnacentral:rRNA from 1 species
CCCUUAGAUGUUCUGGGCCGCACGCGCGCUACACUGACGAAUGCAACGAGCUUAUAACCUUGGCCGAAAGGUCUGGGUAAUCUCCAAAUUUCGUCGUGAUGGGGAUAGAUUAUUGCAAUUAUUAAUCUCCAACGAGGAAUGCCUAGUAAGCGCAAGUCAUCAGCUUGCGUUGAUUACGUCCCUGCCCUUUGUACACACCGCCCGUCGCUCCUACCGAUUGAAUGGUCCGGUGAAGCGUUCGGACCGUGGCCUUUGGACGGUUCGCCGUCUGUUGGCUGCGGGAAGUUCGUUAAACCUUAUCAUUUAGAGGAAGGAGAAGUCGUANCA